rnacentral:rRNA from 1 species
AACGAACGCUUGGCGGCAUGCCUAACACAUGCAAGUCGAACGAAGCCUUCGGGCUUAGUGGCGCACGGGUGCGUAACACGUGGGAAUCUGCCCUCAGGUACGGAAUAACUCAGGGAAACUUGAGCUAAUACCGUAUGAUGUCUUCGGACCAAAGAUUUAUCGCCUGAGGAUGAGCCCGCGUCGGAUUAGCUAGUUGGUGGGGUAAAGGCCUACCAAGGCGACGAUCCGUAGCUGGUCUGAGAGGAUGAUCAGCCACACUGGGACUGAGACACGGCCCAGACUCCUACGGGAGGCAGCAGUGGGGAAUAUUGGACAAUGGGCGAAAGCCUGAUCCAGCAAUGCCGCGUGAGUGAAGAAGGCCUUCGGGUUGUAAAGCUCUUUUACCCGGGAAGAUAAUGACUGUACCGGGAGAAUAAGCCCCGGCUAACUCCGUGCCAGCAGCCGCGGUAAUACGGAGGGGGCUAGCGUUGUUCGGAAUUACUGGGCGUAAAGCGCACGUAGGCGGCUUUACAAGUCAGGGGUGAAAGCCCGCGGCUCAACCGCGGAAUUGCCCUUGAGACUGUAUCGCUUGAACACGGGAGAGGUGAGUGGAAUUCCGAGUGUAGAGGUGAAAUUCGUAGAUAUUCGGAAGAACACCAGUGGCGAAGGCGGCUCACUGGACCGUAGUUGACGCUGAGGUGCGAAAGCGUGGGGAGCAAA